GUUGACCGUCGGCAACGGUUAGGGGUUUUGGAUGACCGUAGGCAAAGGUUAGGUGUCAUGGACCCUGCCCCCGGACCCCCGGCCUGCUCCUGGACGAGGCCACUGCCAGGACCGGUCUACACCCGUGGACGAGAGGACCACUCAGUCAAUCCCAGGAUUUCACUAAUUUCCAGCUUAUAAGUGACACUUGCAUCGGUACGGAAGAUAUUCAUCGUCCUCGACGAACGGUUGAAAACACGUCUCCAUUUCCAAAUGUGGGAACGAGAUUGUCUCCAUUUAGAUAUGCUCACUCACUCUGUCCAUUUUGAGAACAAGAAAUGCAAAUAUAUCUUAGAGAGAA